rnacentral:rRNA from 1 species
UACGUAGGGUGCAAGCGUUAAUCGGAAUUACUGGGCGUAAAGCGUGCGCAGGCGGUUGUGCAAGACAGAUGUGAAAUCCCCGGGCUUAACCUGGGAAUUGCAUUUGUGACUGCACGGCUAGAGUGUGUCAGAGGGGGGGUAGAAUUCCACGUGUAGCAGUGAAAUGCGCAGAUAUGUGGAGGAACACCGAUGGCGAAGGCAGCCCCCCUGGGUCAAAAACUGACGCUCAUGCACGAAAGCGUGGGGAGCAAACAGG